GAGCGAACGCGGACCAGGCCAGUGAUACAUCAAAGACAAUCGGAACCAGUCAGGAAAGCUGGGCCUCAGAGGGUGAUAGCCCCGUACGAGUAAUGCGAUGAUGUAUCCACGAGUAAGGCGGGACACGUGUAAUCCUGUCUGAACACGGGGGGACCACCCUCCAAGCCUAAGUACUCCUCAGCGACCGAUAGUGAACCAGUACCGU
rnacentral:rRNA from 1 species